AGACGAGGAAAUAAAAAGGGGCAAGUGCCCGGAACCUCGAAAGAAAAGAAAAAGUGAGACGAGAGGUAAAAAUGGACAAGUGUCCGACAGUAGAAUUAGGGGUACAAGAUACCCACCUGAGAGAAAAGGAAAAAAAAGAGCAUCUCAUUCUCUUGACAAAGUUACAAAAAAAAGCAAGAAAGGUAUGUAUCCCCUCAAAAGAGCAAAAGUAGAAUGAGACUUUCAUCAUUGUUAUCACCAUCAUCACCAUACAACAUUCAUUCGCCACACAUGCACAUCUUGAUUUGACUUAUUGAUUUGUUUCAUUGGAUCCAUGGUUUGACUAUGCAAUAAAUGUCUUGUAAGUAUGUAUAUUUUAUCUCCCACCUAUGAGCUCCAGAUAUUAAUGCCUUAUUAGAGUAGGGUGAGAGAAAAGGCAAUGUCACUAUGCCUUAUACCACAAAUACUACAUAUCUUGAGAGAAGGCAUAUACCAACACUGCCUUGGAAAGGUUCCAGAAAUACCACAAAAGAGAGAUCUAAGAGAGUCGUACAAGGAAUCUCUGAGUUUUAUUUGAAAAUCUGCAAAAACUCCAGAGCUAUAGCUGAUCAAGAAUAAGAGACAUGGCACUUGACUAGACUGUUCUAUCUUUUAACUACUCAAGAUAGAAGUGACGGUUACAAGUCCCAUGGUGAAAGGUAAAGUAAGUAAGUUUUAAGUCUUGACGGUUUACUCUAACUCAGAGAUGAGAUCUUAUUUAAAAGCAUGUGUACCGUCAAUUUUUAAAGGUAUUGCAACAACUUCUGAUCCAUUACUAAGUCUAUCCUUGCUCAGGGACGAGCAAGAGGUAAACUUGGGGGAGUUUGUUGAUGGUCCUUAAAUAUCAAAUUUAAUUAUCAAAUAAACAAAGAAAAGGAUCCAAAUGAAAACAACAUCAAGACUUAGGGUUUUAUCUAACAGAAUUCCAUGAGUUUUGGUGUUUGUCUAUUUCUGCAUGGGGUUAUCAGGAAAUACGGAAGAAAGGCCCACACGUCGGGAUUACAUAGAGAUAUUAAUGUGCCGCACAAUUAUCUUACAUCUAGAAGACUGCAGAAGCCACGGGAAGGAAGCGGAGGCCGAACGGGGCUAGGCACUGGGCGCCUGCCCCCUUGUAGAGUUGGAUUAGGACUCUCUUUCGGGAUCAAUCUCCACUGACCUAAAGGAUCAAGGAUAACCAUUCAAUCAAUGUCGGUUUGAUCCAACGGCCCAUAUUCACUUGAAGGGACUAUAAAACCAGACCCCCUGGCCCCUGGAGGAGAGAGCCUCUGAACCCUAAUUCAUUAUUCCUCAAGGGAGAAGAAGCCUCUGAUCAAGCCUAGAGCCACCACAUCAAUUAGACAUCUAGAUUAGCAUAGCUACAUAGGAUUAGAACUAGAAGGAGUCAAUCUUCGAUUGGUUUCCAGAUCUGUCAAGAGGAUUCUUGGUAAUUCUCUGAUUGUUCUUCUAAUUAUCUUUGUUCUUCAAUAUUAUGAAUAUGACUUUGUUCUACUUCAGUAUAUUGCUUAUGACUUUGCUCUACUUGUUUAUAUUCAAGAUUAUAUUGUUCUUAGUUUUAUAGUAUUUAUCCAUCGGAUCCAUGGGUAAAUGAUAGAUAUUGUGUAGGCGUGGUGCUUAUACCGUAUUUAUCUGCGAUUGUACCCAAUAUGCCGGAUCGUGGGGUAGUUCGUGAUAGUGACAGCUUCAUUGAUUCUUAUAUAGUCCCCCUCUCGUGUAUUGGGCUGGUAGAGCAACAUUAUUAUAGGGGAGUGAUUGCUAUGUUUCUCAUAUUCCUUGCUAAUAUCACUAUGCAUGGGCGUAGUCUUGUCUCACAAUGAUUGCUAAGUAUGCUUGCACUAACUAUGAUAAUGCUAGACUAUAUAGUUGAGAAUAACUUAGGAAAUAUUCUUAUAGUUCGUUCUCAUACCAUGCUAAUGACUUUCUAGAAUAUCUAAUUGAGGUGCUUAUCAUAUUUAUUAUGUAGCUAAGUUAUGCUGAUCAGGUUAAUUAUCUUUGUCACUAUUCAUUACUUCAUAUAUCUUUUAUGUGACACUUAUCCCUGUAUGAAAGAGUUAGAUAAAUGUUCUCAAUUAUACAUGGAAUGAUAGAUACUCAAUCCCAUAUUCCAUUUUAUAAUCAAUGUUGAUGGUUACUAAUCCCUUCCUAGUGGUAAAAAUAUAAGUAACGAUACCUGGAAUACUUCCCGGUUAAAAUGCUACAUCGGUAUUAAUCUGUGCGCUUGCAGAUCCCAUUCAUUAUUUAUUUAGAAGAGCAAUUGCAUAUUUCAAUACCGCGUCUCUCAUGUCAUGCUGGGGAUGACAACUUGGCUUAAGUGGUAUGAGGGAUAGUUUUGGCAUUUUUGGCACCGUUAUCAGAUUUUGAAAACUGUCUACUUUUGGUAGUGAUGUUAAGAAUACCCAACAACCCUCACCCCUUCAAAGGCUCGGGGGCUAUUGUUGGGUACCAUAAAAAGGGAUACCCAAAUCAGAAUAAAAGUCCCGACCCCUCGGCCUUGGGCCCAAGCCACGGCUCGCCCGACCCCUCUUGGCCUCAGGCGCAAGUUCCGCCUCGCCCGACCCCUCUAGGGCUCGGGCGCCAACGCCGCUUCGCCCGAGCCCCCAGAACAAGGCUUCCAGCACACGGCGCCCGUACCCACGAUGUGACGGACGCAGUGACUCCCAUAUCGUAGCAGGGCGUGGUGACGACUAUUCCAACCACCCCGGUCACUAUGGCCUUACCUCUUUCACUGUGUAACCUUACCUCUUUCACUGUGCUGUACCGCCUCACAGUGAAAGAGGAAUGGGAGAGGUUAACCAGUGUCACUAUUAGCUGUCUUUUCCCACUAUUACAGGACGGGCUGCAGUAUCAUCGAUCCGACAUAUCGGGUUUACAUAGAGAUAUUAACGUGCCGCGCAAUUUUCUAUCAUCUAGAAGACUCCAGAAGCCACGGGAACGAAGCGGAGGCCGAGAGGGCUCAGGCACAAGGCGCCCGCCCUAGUCCUGAGGGCGCCCACCCUGCUACAGUGCUCAAUGAGAGUCCAAUUCGGGGACAACGCUCCACCGACCUAAAGGAUCAAGGAAAACCAUGCGAUUAAUGUCGGUUUGAUCCAAUGGCCCAUAUUCACUUGAAGGGACUAUAAAACCAGACCCCCUGGCCCCUGGAGAUCAUACCUCUUCUACAGAAUCAAAGCUAGCGUUUCAAUUCUUCAUCCAAGUAGAGAGGAUCCCUCUAGUUCUUCUAGUUCUACCUCUUGUUCAUCUAGAUCUAGUUCUAGUUCAUCUAGUUCUAGUUCUAGUUCCUCUAGUUCUAGUUCUAGUUAGUUCUAGUUGUAAUCUAGAAAAUAGGAAGAGAGAAGAGGAGAGCGGAGGAGGAGCCGGAUCUGUCGGAUCUUCCUCAACAUUAUACUUUUGCAGCAACUGGUUCGUUCUUCAUCGUUCUCCAGGUUCUUCAAUUCACAAUUCCUGAGUUCUUUAAUUACUUUUAUUUACAUUCAAGUUAAUUAUUGGAUUCCCGCUUGCAUCAAGUGCUCCAAUCUUUGAAACAUUAGAGUAGUAAUUAAUAGAUUAGACGUGGUAUUUAGUCUUGCAAUUACCUAGAAUUGCACCCAAUCCUGCGGAUUGUAGUGGUAGCCUUAGGGUAGUGACAGCCCUAACGGUCGACGUAUUCCACCUCGUUCGGAUCGGUGUUUGUAGGACCGUAGUCAGACCUUCCUAGCCCCCUUCUCAUAUCUUUCUAUGGUUAGUGCUCUGAUGUCCCGAUAUAAAUAAUCUUUGAAGUAAUUCUUGAUUCUUAGAUCAAUUAGAAAACUCUCAGGAAACUUCCUCUCUUCCCACCAAAAAUAAUUAUAUAGUUAUCCUUGGGCGAUCUUGGAUCUUAAUUAGUACACUCAUGUUCUCUGUGGAGAAUCGAUACUCUGGAAUACUCUCGGGUGAAAGCUACAUCGGUAUCCGUGCGCUUGCGGAUUUUUUUGUUUGCGUUUAAAAUACCCAACAAGCUUUCUGGCGCCAUUGCCGGGGAAUGGUAGCUGUGCUAGUUUCGAACCAAGUCGUCCGUGUAUCCUUUUUCUUUUCCUUUUUUACUACACUCACCUUAUCAUUUUCACCAUACCACAUGGAUUUCACUCUAAGCAUUAAUGAGCAUAGAAUUUAUUUCAUAGCCACUUCAUUUACUCCAUGCUCAUAUGCAACAUCUUCACAAUCCAUUGGUCUCUCCAACAUCACCACAUUCGAGAUCUCCAACCCCCUCUUCCUUUCUAUUUAUAAAAACUUUAAAAGGGCAGUUGUCGAUGCAUAUGUCUAUAAUAAAUUUUGUAGAUCUCGUUGAGUUGAUCUUGAUAUAGGUCAGCGUUGGAGGGGAAACCACUUCGCCGACAUAAAUUGAUGGUUUCCGAAGGACAAGCUUAGUGUCCUAAAACAAGCACUGAUCAGAUUGUAACAUGAGCUUUUAAUUAUUUGCAACAUUACCUUGUGUGUUGAGCAUAUAAGGAUAAUUGUAAAAAUACUCCUUCGGGUAUUCUUGUCACUAACCUUUCCAAGAUUGGAGCAAGAAGAACGGAUGAAUGACAAGCACAAGGUAUGUCCAACCAAUCAACAUACAACAUUGAAUUAAACUCAUCCAAACUUGAAUUUUGCAAAAUUCAAGCUUGGGGGAGUACUUUACAUAAAAACAUCCUUUGCCAUGUUGCUAUGUUGGUUGUCCCUACCUUUGAGACAUGCUCAAUUUGUUAAAUACUAAUCACACUACUUCAUCUCGACUUGAGUAGAUCUCUAUAAAAGAUCUCAUACUAGCUUUAUUUGCUUUAGUAUAUGUCUAGGUUUGGAGUAGUUUCAUUUAUCUCUUAAUUAAGCAUGGUGCUUAGUUUAGGAAUGAUGAUCUUAUUUCCAAAGAAUUUUAAAUUAAGCAUGAUGCUUAGGUUAAAAUGCCCUCCUAAAUCAAAUUAGACAUGGUAUCUAGGUUGAUCUUUGAGCCGAUAGUAUGCUAUAGUAGAUAUUGGAUAUUUUGUUGGACUAACCCCUGCAGGAAAACUUUCAAUAUCAACCUGGGAGGUCCUGAGAUAAACUCACAUUGGAGACAAAGAGAGACGCAUGAAGUUUAAACAUUUACACAAGGAAGGCAUAGCUCACAAGAGAUGAUCCAUGGAGGGUGCUACAAAUAUGAUGCACAACCGCUAAGAAAGGAAAGCUUCCACAAGGUGAUAUUGUACCAUCACUCUUCAAGUAAGGUAAUAUCUUAAGGUACUUGACUAUCGCCUUUAUAAGCUUCUCCUUGGUUAUGGCGUUCACAUGAAUAAAAGAGACAAACAUGUAUGAUUUGCAACUCUAGAUUAACCAACCCAAUCGAUUCAACAUGUUUAGUCCUUCCACCUUUGUGAUCCCACACUCCUAGUCAUAUGAACUAAAAUGUUGCACAUUAAAUCUCUGGAAGAUAUAAACAAAACAUAAGUAUAGAUAGAUUUUCUUUCCAUUAGAUUGAGCGAUCUGAUCUAACAAAUGUUUUAAAUGCUACACUCAUGAUCUUAUUAUCCAUCAACUUUGUCUUGCUCACUAUGCUUAAGGUUAGAGAAGAACAAAUAUACUUUUGGUUCUGUUGGUGUUUUCCACCAACAAGGCCCAUGCACUUGAUCUCUGCCUUGUCACUAUGAGCAGGUACACUUCGAGCAAAAUAUGAAGGAGUUUUACAACUCCCAGACUCCACCAAGUGAAGAACCUAGAUCAACGAGUACACACACUAGAGAAACUGGACACUCAAGCAAUCACUGCCCUGAGAUGCUUGAGGACGUGAACUACAUCAACAAUAACAACAAUAACUACUACUACAACCGACCUCAACAAAAUCAAAGUUGGAAUCAACAGAGGCCUAACUACUUAGUCAAGAGAGGCAAUCCAGGACGCCUCGUCAUCGCGAUCUCCAUCGGCAUGGUGGACUUCCUAGAAGCACUCUGUGACUUUGGCUCCAGCGUCAACAUUAUGCUCAGGGUACUCUAUGAAAAAUUCUUUACACAUCCUUCCCUAGAAACAACCAUGUGUUUGUAGUUUGCAGAUCAGACACUAAGUUUCCCAAAGGGAAUAUUGAAGAACCUCUGCGUCCGAGUUGGUACCUUGUACGCCCUAGCAGACUUCGUGGUGAUAGAGACUGGUACUAAUGAGAGGGAACCCAUCAUCAUAGGGAGGCCAUUCCUGAACACCUCAGGAGCUGUCAUCCACGCUAGUGCUACCAAGAUCAGUUUCUACAUCAAAGGGAGGAAGGAGACGUUUUCCUUCAAGAACAAGACUACACAAAUCUCAGAGCAAUCCCGACAUGAACCAAGGAAGAGGACCAACAGGAGGAUCAUGAACAAGCAAAUGUGGACCGAGUCAGCUAAGAUGGUCACUGCAGUUCAUGGAGAUCAAGAUCGUUGACUCAAAUCACCGUUUCUGACCAAGAAGGACAAACCAACUCCAAGAUGGCAGGUUACUGACAUGGGAGAAGAUGAGUAUGAUCCACCCAUCACCCUUGGGAGAUCGUUCCUCAGCACCGUUAAAGCAAUCAUCUACAUUGGAACAGGAGAAGUCCACAUGCACUUCCCCUCUGAGAAGGUAAGCCGCUAUUUUACCGACCUUAACUAUAUAGUUGUAGACUCUAAGCAGGUUAGGACAAGAAGAAGACGAUGCAACCGCAACAAGAGAAGGCAAAUCAUCAAGGACGGAUGGGUGGACUACGAAGGAGAAGUGGUAAUGUCUGAAGACAGACAGCUUGAACAGAACUGUCCUGAGGAGACCGUAGCACCAAGUCAGGUGUGGAGAGAGAAGAUAAUUAUACAUGAAGAGGAGGCGCUGCCAAAAUCACCAACUACGCCAUCCAGUGAAUCCCAAGACGACUGAGAAUACGGAGAGUCCUGUUCGGAGGACUUAAACACACCGAACGCCUUGCCAAGAGUUCCACAAAGCUUUGUUGUCUAUUUGAGCUCCACAGAAUUCAAGGAUCAAAGAAGACUAGCAGACGGAGGACAUCCUAAUCACUGUCAGGGUGCUGCCGACAUUCAAAUACACCUUCGCCACUGCUAGCUACAUCAGAAGAAAUUGUGUCAAAAUCCAGCUUGGGAGAGAGCAACCCCAUUUACCCAGCUAAGUAUUCUACUUACGUUUAUACUUCAGUCUAAUAAUAAAAAUAUGCAUAAUCAUAAAAACCCAAAUAAAGAUUUUGUGCUUAUAUAUAUCUUUGCUUAGUUUGCUAAAUAAAUAAAUAAAUAAAGUUUGCUAUGAACCCUCAUGAUAAGCUCUGACAUGACAAUGAUGAAUAGUUGCUCUGCCAUGACUAGUUCUCAAAAUUGAAAUCUCUCUCAAGUUUAGGCAUGACUGUUAUUAAUUAAGAUUUGCUCUAAACCUAAACUUGUGGGAAGAGUAAUUGAUCUAAAGUCUAAGUCGUUAACGGAUAUGAUAUGGGAAGGUUGAGCUGCUGUUUAUCUGUUUCUAGAGAUGCUAGAAUUUUGGAGAAUUUUAUCUUUGAAAAUCUUUAAAAUAUCACAUGAUGAGUUCCUGUAUGAUGAGAGUUUAAAUUCCUACCACAUCCAUAUAUACAUGCUUGCUAGACUUUGAGCCACAUAUUUACUUUUUACUGCUUAUGAGCAUUGAGUGUGGUCAAGUUGUGUAGACCCUUAGGAGCUUGUCAUAUGGUUAAAAUCAAGAUUCACUUGCACGUUCACUCAUACAUGCUGCUUCUACUCUGGAAGUACACAUCCACAUACAUCCACUCAUUUCCAUCUCUAGAAGUACCCAAAAAUAUUCUACUCCUAAUUUGGGAGAGAAUAGCCAAAAACAUUUCUGUUUUCCUCUGUGAAAUAAAUGCUCAAGUUAUCUUGGUUACUACCACUUGCUAUAUUAUUUCAGGAGAUGAGUGCUCUAAUAAAAAAAAGAGAGAAAAAAAAGAUACGAGGAAAUAAAAAGGGGCAAGUGCCCGGAACCUCAAAAGAAAAGAAAAAAGUGAGACGAGAGGUAAAAAUGGACAAGUGUCCGACAAUCGAAUUAGGGUACAAGAUACCCACCUGAGAGAAAAGAAAAAGAAAAUAUAGAGCAUCUCAUUCUCUCCAAAAGUUUCAAAAGAGCAAAGAAGGUAUGUAUCCCCUCAAAAGAGCACAAGUAGAAUUAGACUUUCACUAUUGUUAUCACCAUCAUCACCAUACACCAUUCAUUCACCACACCACAUGCACAUCUUGAUUUGACUUAUUGACUUGUUCUUCUGGAUCCAUGGUUUGACUAUGCAAUAAAUGUCUUGUAAGUAUGUAUUAGCUGUCUCCCACCAAUGAGCUCUGUUGACGGUCCUUAAGUAUCAAAUUUAAUUAUCAAAUAAACAAAGAAAAAGAUCCAAAUGAAAUCAACAUCUAGACUUAGGGUUUUAUCUGACAGAAUUCCACGAGUUUUGGUGUUUGUCUAUUUCUGCAGGGGGUUAUCAGGAAAUAAGAAAGAAAGGCCCACAUGUCGGGAUUACAUAGAGAUAUCAACCCACCGCGCAAUUUUCUACCAUCUAGAAGACUCCAGAAGCCACGGGAAGGAAGCGGAGCCCGAAAGGGGCUAGGCCCAGGGCGCCCGCCCUAAGGACCUGGGCGCCCGCCCACCUCUGGACCCCGUUCCGGACUCUCUUCGCACACGACGUUCCACCGACCUAUUGGAUCCAGAAUAACAUAGUACCACCUCGCCUAUCGACCCAAAAACGCAUAGAAUGGGAGGACUAUAUAAGGAGACCCCCUCUGGCCCCUGGAGGAGACAAGAAAUUAUCAUAGAGAUUGAGGGGUGCCCUCGAAGGAAAACCUCUUCUCUAAAUAAUAUUUCUUUUUAGGCUUAGCAACCAAUGUAAAGUAGAAAUAGAUCUUCUAGUUUCUACUAGAUUGAGAGAGAUAGAGUGGAGGAGUGGAUCGGAGGAAGGCCGGCCUGUCGGUGUCUACUCCGAGUUGUACCUACGGGAUCAAGUCUCCUAACCCGAGGCUUCCUUCUAAGAUUCUUCAGUAAUUCGACUUCUAAUACUAGUAAGUUCUUGUUUUAUUGUUCUUUGGUUUAUGAGUUUACUUUAAUCCUCUUCCGAUUGAGUAUUAGAGUAAUCACUUGUUAGCGUAAACGUGGUGUUUAGGCUAGGGUACUCAUAGAUAUCCCCUGACUAGCUGGACCGUGGUAGUAGCGAGGAACGUGACAUUUCCGAGUUACCUUUGCAGAUCACAUCUCGUUAGCAGGACGGGUAGGUUUAUAGGUGCGGGUCGAACAUCCUUUGUGUUGUCUAGAUUCCGUGAGCCUCCCCAAUAGAACAGUAGAUCAUCCUUACCAAGGUUAGAACGAGACUACGGUUGCAGUCUUCUCUAUACAUCACUCACAUUGAGAGACAUUCUUUGUAGCCUAAAGGGAUAGUAGCAAUAGAUUUGGUUAGUCAGAUGCACCCUUUCUCCCAGUGGUAAAAAUAUAAAUACGAUAACUCUGGAUAACCUCCCGGGUGAAAUGCUCACCGAUAUCCGUGCGCUUGCGGAUCAUUUUCUAAUUGCGUUACCAAAUAUCAACAAGCAUUUCUGGGGCCGUUGCCGGGGAGAAAGACGGUUUGCUGAGAUAACUUUGAGUCUUGCUAUUAUCUUGUAUUAUACUUUUAUACUUUUAUUCUUUUAUCUUUUUAUUUUUAUGGAUAACUCAAAUUCCAUACCUAUUAUUAAAUUCUUUGCACCUUCAGAGACCAGCCAUAGACCAUGGGAGUCAACACGUCCUGCCCCUAAUUAUGAUCUGUGUCCGGAGUUGAUUGCAAUAGGUCAAAACCAACCCUUUUCUAUAGCCGAGGUCCUAUCUUUUAAUCAAGAAGAUAAUGCACUUUUAGCUACACCUAGGGAAUCUUUUAAUCUUUCUAUAAAUUCUGGUUUAGACCUAGCCCUACAAGACCAUGUUUUUUCUCGAUAUUUUCACAUUGGUCUUAAUCAUAUAACCUUUGGUAGAGUCCUUCUUUCUUUAUCUAUUAGUAAAGGAAGGUAUGUCUUCAUUCGUGGGCAUCCUUCUUGUACUAGUCUUCAUAGAAAAAUCUUAGAGAUAGAGAAGGAAUCAUCUCCCAGACGAGGAAAGGAAGUUUCAAUAGCCGAUUUCCAAUCAUUUCAAUCCCAUAAUUCAGCUAUCCAACCCAUCCUUGAGCUUAAUAAUUUCUACUAUGCUUUUUCUCUUGAACCUCCCGAUAAUUCUAUAAAUCUCUCUAGACAUCCCAUGCAUAAGAAGGAGGAUCGAGAAGAGCAACAUCGAUGGCUAGAGGGCAUUAAAAAUCCAUGUGCUAUCACCAUUGAAUGGAUAAAUAAAACAAACUUGAGAGACAAUCCUAGAGGAAUUUUAAGCAUUCAUGAAGAAUCAUCCUUGGAGUUUGAGAAUGAGAGAAACAACAGUGAGCAUGGAAGUUAUUUCAUAAAUACCUUACCCAGUCCUUGCUCAUAUAAAACAUCUCUCCAAUCAAUUAGUCUCUCCAUCCUUAUCACAUUUGAGAUCUCCAACCCUCUCUUCUUUUCUAUUUAUAAAAACUUUAAAAGAGCGGUUAUCGUUGCAUAUGUCUAUAAUAAAUAUUGCAGAUCUCGUUGAGUUUAUCUUGAUAUAGGUUGGUGUUGGAGGGGAAACCACUUCACCAACAUAACUUGAUGGUUUCCCAAGGAUAAGCUUAGCGUCCUUAAACAAGCACUUAUCAUAUCGUAACAUGAACUUCUAAUUAUUUGCAACAUUGCCUUGUGUAUUGAGCAUAUUGAGAUAAUUGUAGAAAUAUUCCUUCGGGUAUUCUUGUCACUAACCUUUCCAGGAUUGGAGCAAGAAGAUCGGAUGAAUAACAAGCACAAGGUAUGUCCAACCAAUCAUCAUGCAACAUUGAAUUAAAUUCAUCCAAUCUUGAAUUUUGCAAAAUUCAAGCUUGGGGGAGUACUUUACAUAAAAACAUCAUUUGCCAUGUUGCUAUGUUGGUUGUCCUUACAUUUGAGACAUGCUCAAUUUGUUAAGUACUAAUUACACUACUUGACCUCCAUUUGAGUAGAUCGCUAUAAAUGCUCUCAUGCUACCUUUAUUUGCUUUAGUAUAUGUCUAGGUUUGGAGUAGUUUCAUUUAUCUCUUAAAUCAAGCAUGGUGCUUAGUUUAGGAAUGAUGAUCUUACUUCCAAAGGAUUUUUAAAUUAAGCAUGGUGCUUAGGUUAAAAUGCCCUCCUAAAUCAAAUUAGACAUGGUGUCUAGGUUGAUUUUUGAGCCGAUAUUAUGCUAUAGUAGAUAUGGGAUAUUUUGUUGGACUAACCCCUGUAGGAAAACUUUCAAUAUCAACCUGGAAAGUCCUGAGAUACAAACUCAUUGGAGAUAAAGGAGACACAUGAAGUUUAACAAUUUGCACAAGAAGGACAUAGCUCAUUCAUCAUAAAGAGAUGAUCCAUGGAGGGUGCCACAAACACGAUGCAAGGAAAGCUUCCACAAGGUGAUACUGUACCGUCACUCUUCAAGUAAGGUAACAUUUUAAGGUACUUGACUAUCACUUUUAUAAGCUUCUCCUUGGUUCUAGCGUUCACAUAAAAUAAAGAGACAAACAUGUAUGAUUUGUAGCUCCAAAUUAAUCAACCCAAUUAAUUCAACAUGUUUAGUCAUUUAAUCUUUGUUCUUAGUACUACCUUCAUGAUCCCAUACUCCUAAUCAUAUAAGUUAAAAUGUUGCACAUUCAAUCUUUGGAAGAUAUAAACAAAACAUAAAUAUAGAUAGAUUAUCUUUCCAUUAGGUUGAGCCAUCUGAUCUGACAAAUGCUACACUCAUGAUCCAUCAGCUUUGUCUUGCUCACUAUGCUUAAGGUUAGAGAAGAACAAAUACACUUUUGGUUCUGUUGGUGUUUUCCACCAACAGGGCCCAUGCACUUGAUCUCUACCUUGUCUCUAUGAGCAGGAACACUUCGAGCGUAAUAUGAAGGAGUUUUACAACUCCCAAAUUCCAUCAAGUGAAGAACCGGGAUCUACAAGCACAAACACAAUGGAGAUCAGACACUUAAUUUCCCAAAGGAAAUAUUGAAUAACCUCUGUGUCCGAGUUGGUACCUUGUACGCUUCAGCAAACUUCGUGGUGAUAGAGACUAGUAGUGAGGAGAGGGCACCCAUCAUCUUAGGGAGGCCAUUCCUAAACACCAGGGCAGUCAUCUAAGCUAAUGCUGUCCAGAUCAGUCUCUACAUCAAGGGGAAGAAGGAGAUUUUCCUUCAAGAACAAGACUACACAAACUUCAGAGCAAUCCCGACAUGAACCAAGGAAGAGGACCAACAGGAGGAACAGGAACAAGCAAAUGUGGACCGAGUCAGCUAAGAUGGUCACUGCAGCUCAUGGAGGUCAAGAUCGUCGACUCAAGUCACCUUUCUUGAUCAAGAAGGACGACCCUAGUGUUCCAAGAAUCGAAUGCACAAACAAUGGAUACUCUUUUUUUAGAAGACACUCUACGACACCGGAUCUAACGACAACAUAAUGGCCGCAGUCACUUAUCAGCUCCUGCAUGGAACCAUGCUCCUACAACCAAGAUACAUUCAGCUUCAGACAAUUUUCAGGUCAUGGGAGAAGACGAGUAUGAUUCAUCCACCAUCCUUGGAAGACCGUUCCUCAGCACUAUCAAAGCCAUUAUCUAUAUUGGAACCGGAGAAGUCCACAUGCACUUCCCCUCUGAGAAGGUACGCCACUACUUUAAUGAUUCUAACUAUAUAGUUGAAGAUUCUAAGCAGGUCAGGACAAGAAGAAGACAAACCGCAACCAGAGGAGGCAAAUCGGACGGAAGGGUAGACUACGAAAGAGAAGUGAUAAGGACUGAAGACAUACAACUUGAACAGAACUGUCCUGAGGAGACCGUAGCACCGAGUCAGGUGUGGAAAGAGAAGAUAGUUAUACACGAAGAGGAGGCGCCGCCGGAACCACCGACUAUGCCACCCAGCAAAUCCCAGGACGACUAAGAAAACGGAGAGUCCCGUUCGGAGGACUUAAAAAUACCGAACGCCUUGCCAAGAGGUAAACUUGGUAGUUAUCCUUUCCCUUUCAAUUAUUUUAAAUAGUUUACUUAGUUAAUCAUAUUCAUACUAUCUUAAAAAUAAAAGAAAAUAAAAAUGUGAAAAACAGUAAGCCCCAUGUGAGUAUACGAGUGGCAUAAAACCCAUAAGUACAUUCACUGUGGUGGCAUAAAAAUAAAAUAAAUAUUUUUCUGCUUUAUAAAAUGAAAAUAUAAAAAACAGGGAGUAAUAAUUAUUAAGGAGUCUCAAGAUGAUAAAGGCUAGAUAUUUAUGCUAACACUUAAUCAGUUCCACAAGCUUUGUUGUCUAUUUGAGCUCCACAGAAUUUAAGAAUCAAGAAGACUAGCAGACGGAGGACAUUCUAAUCGCUGUCAGAAUGCUGCUGACUUUCAAAAACACCUCUACCACCUGCUAGCUACAUCAAGAGAAAUUACGUCAAAAUUCAGCUUGGGGGAGAGCACCCCCAUUUAUCUCGAUAAGUAUUUCUAUCUAUCUAUCUUUAUACUUAUACUAUAUUAGAAUAUAAAUACACAUAACUAUGAAAAACCAAAUAAAGAUUUUAUGCUUAUAUAUAUUUUGCUUAGUGUGUUUAAUAAAUAAAUAAAGUGGCUAUGCUAAUCUGUAUCUAAUAAAACUUAAGCAUGGAUAUGAUGAAUAGUUGCUCUGCCUAAUUUGCAAAUUUGAAGUUCUCUCUCAAGUUUAGAUGUAACUGUUAUAAUUUAAGGCUUGCUCUAGACCUAAACUUGUGGGAUGAAAACUUGAUCUGAAGUCUAAGUUGUUAACGGAUACGAUAUGGGAAGGUUGAGCUGCUGUUUAUCUGUUCCUAGAGAUGCUAGAAUUCUGGAGAAUUUUAUCUUUGAAAAUCUUUAAAAUAUUGCAUGAUGAGUUCCUGUAUGAUGAGAGUUUAAAUUCCUACCACAGCCAUAUAUACAUGCUUGCUAGACCUUGAGCCACACAUUUACUAUUUACUGCUUAUGAGCAUUGAGUGUGGUCAAGCUGUGUAGACCCUUAGGAGCUUGUCAUGUGGGUAAAUCAAGAUUCACUUGCACGUUCACUCAUACAUGCUACUUCUACUCUGGAAGUACCAUCCACAUAUAUCCACUCAUUUCCAUCUCCAAAACCACCCAAAAGUAUUCUACUCCUAAUCCGGGAGAGAAUAACCAAAAAUAUUUCUGUUUCCCCUUGUGAAAUAAAUGCUCAAGUUAUCUUGUUACUACCACUUGCUAUAUUAUUUAAGGAGAUGAGUGCUCUAAAAAAAGAAAGAAAAUAAUAUACGAGGAAAUAAAAAGGGGCAAGUGCCCGGAACCUCGAAGAAAAGAAAAAGUGAGACGAGAGGUAAAAAUGGACAAGUGUCCGACAGUAGAAUUAGGAGUACAAGAUACCCACCUGAGAGGUAAGAAAAAAGAAAAUAUAGAGCAUCUCAUUCUCCCCAAAAAAAAAGCUUCUAAGUGCAAGAAAGGUAUGUAUCCCCUUAAAAGAGCAAAAGUAGAAUUAGACUUUCACCAUUGUUAUCUCCAUCAUCACCAUACACCAUUCAUUCGCCACACAUGCACAUCUUGAUUUGACUUAUUGAUUUGUUUCUCUGGAUCCAUGGUUUGACUAUGCAAUAAAUGUCUUGUAAGUAUGUAUACUUUAUCUCCCACCUAUGAGCUCCAGAUAUUAAAGCCUUAUUAGAGUAGGGUGAGAGAGAAGACAAUGUAACUAUGCUUCAUACCACAAAUACUACAUAUCUUGAGAGAAGGCAUAUACCAUCACUGCCUUGGUAAGGAUCCAAAAAUACCACAAAAGAGAGACCUGAGAGAAUCAUACAAGGAAUUUCUGAGUUUUAUUUGAAAAUCUGCAAAAACCCCAGAGCUAUAGCUGAUCAAGAAUAAGAGACAUGGCACUUGGCUAGACUGUUCUAUCUUUUAACCACUCAAGACAGAAGUGACGGUUACAAGUCCUAUGGUGUAGGUAAAGUAAGUAAGUUUUAAGUCUUAACAGUUUAUUCUAACUCAGAGAUGAGAUCUUGCUUAAAUGCGUGUGUACUUCUAAGAAACGAAACCACUGCAGAAACUCUUGAGUUCAUCCUUGCUCAGGGACGAGCAAGAGGUAAGCUUGGGGGAGUUUGUUGACGGUCCUUAAGUAUCAAAUUUAAUUAUCAAAUAAACAAAGAAAAGGAUCCAAAUGAAAUCAACAUCUAGACUUAGGGUUUUAUGUGACAGAAUUCCACGAGUUUUGGUGUUUGUCUAUUUCUGCAGGGGGUUAUCAGGAAAUAAGGAAGAAAGGCCCACAUGUCAGGAUUACAUAGAGAUAUCAACCCACCGCGCAAUUUUCUACCAUCUAGAAGACUCCAGAAGCCACGGAAAGGAAGCGGAGCCCGAAAGGGGCCAGGCCCAGGGCGCCCACCCUAAGGACCUGGGCGCCCGCCCACCUCUGGACCCCGUUCCGAACUCUCUUCGCACACGACGUUCCACCGACCUAUUGGAUCCAGAAUAACAUAGUACCACCUCGCCUAUCGACCCAAAAACACAUAGAAGGGGAGGACUAUAUAAGGAGACCCCCUCUGGCCCCUGGAGGAGACAAGAAAUUAUCAUAGAGAUUGAGGGGUGCCCUCGAAGGAAAACCUCUUCUCUAAAUAAUAUUUCUUUUUAGGCUUAGCAACCAAUGUAAAGUAGAAAUAGAUCUUCUCGUUUCUACUAGAUUGAGAGAGAUAGAGUGGAGGUGUGGAUCGGAGGAAGGCCGGCCUGUCGGUGUCUACUCCGAGUUGUACCUACGGGAUCAAGUCUCCUAACCCGAGGCUUGCUUCUAAGAUUUUCAGUAAUUCGACUUCUAAUAAUAGUAAGUUCUUCUUUUAUUGUUCUUUGGUUUAUGAGUUUACUUUAAUCCUCUUCCGGUUGAGUAUUAGAGUAAUCACUUGUUAGCGUAAACGUGGUGUUUAGGCUAGGGGACUCAUAGAUAUCCCCUGACUAGCUGGACCGUGGUAGUAGCGAGGAACGUGACAUUUCCGAGUUACCUUUGCAGAUCACAUCUCGUUAGCAGGACGGGUAGGUUUAUAGGUGCGGGUCGAACAUCCUUGUGUUGUCUAGAUUCCGUGAGCCUCCCCAAUAGAACAGUAGAUCAUCCUUACCAAGGUUAGAACGAGACUACGGUUGUAGUCUUCUCUAUACAUCACUCACAUCGAGAGACAUUCUUUGUAGCCUAAAGGGAUAGUAGCAAUAGAUUUGGUUAGUCAGAUGCACCCUUUCUCCCAGUGGUAAAAAUAUAAAUACGAUAACUCUGGAUAACCUCCCGGGUGAAAUGCUCACCGAUAUCCGUGCGCUUGCGGAUCAUUUUCUAAUUGCGUUACCAAAUAUCAACAAGCUCCAGAUAUCAAAAGCCUUAUUAGAGUAGGGUGAGAGAGAAGGCAAUGUCACUAUGCCUCAUACCAAAAAUACCACAUACUUUGAGAGAAGGCAUACACCAUUACUGCCUUGCUAAGGAUCCAGAAAUACCACAAAAGAUAGACUAGAGAGAGUCAUACAAGGAAUCUCUGAAUUUUAUUUGAAAAUCUGCAAAAAACUCCAAAGCUAUAGUUAAUCGAAGAAUAAGAGACAUGGCGCUUGACUAGACUGUUCUAUCUUUUAACUGCUCAAGAUAGAAGUGACGGUUACAGGCCCCAUGGUGAAAGGUAAAAUAAGUAAGUUUAAAUCUUAACAGUUACCCUAACCCAAAGAUGAGAUCUUGUUUGAACGCAUGUGUAUCAUUAAGGCAUGAAACCACUGCAGAAACUCUUGAGUUCAUCUUUGCUCAGGGAUGAGCAAAGGUUAAGCUUGGGGGAGCUUGUUGACGGUCCUUAAUGCUCACAUUUAACCAUCAACUAAUCAUGGAAAAGGACUUAUAUGCAACCAACACCUAGACUUAGGGUUUUAUCUGACAGAAUUCCACGAGUUUUGGUGUUUGUCUAUUUCUGCAGGGGGUUAUCAGGAAAUACGGAAGAAAGGCCCACACGUCGGGUUUACAUAGAGAUAUUAACGUGCCGUGCAAUUUUCUAUCAUCUAGAAGACUCCAGAAGCCAUGGGAACGAAGCGGAGGCCGAGAGGGCUCAGGCACCGGGCGCCCGCCCUAGUCCUGAGGGCGCCCGCCCUGCUACAGUGCUCAAUCAGAGUCCAAUUCGGGGACAACGCUCCACCGACCUAAAGGAUCAAGGAAAACCGUGCGAUUAAUGUCGGUUUGAUCCAAUGGCCCAUAUUCACUUGAAGGGACUAUAAAACCAGACCCCCCUGGCCCCAGGAGAUCAUACCUCUUCUACAGAAUCAAAGCUAGGGUUUCAAUUCUUCAUCCAAGUAGUGAGGAUCCCUCUAGUUCUUCUAGUUCUACCUCUAGUUCAUCUAGAUCCAGUUCUAGUUCAUCUAUUUCUAGUUCUAGUUCCUCUAGUUCUAGUUCUAGUAAGUUCUAGUUGUAAUCUAGAAAAUAGGAAGAGAGAAGAGGAGAGCGGAGGAGGAGCCGGAUCUGUCGGAUCUUCCUCAAUAUUAUACUUUUGCAGCAACUGGUUUGUUCUUCAUCGUUCUCCAGGUUCUUCAAUUCACAAUUCCUGAGUUCUUUAAUUACUUUUAUUUACAUUCAAGUUAUUUAUUGGAUUCCCGCUUGCAUCAAGUGCUCUAAUCUUUGAAACAUUAGAGUAGUAAUUAAUAGAUUAGACGUGGUGUUUAGUCUUGCAAUUACCUGGAAUUGCACCCAAUCCUGCGGAUUGUUGUCAUAGCCUUAGGGUAGUGAUAGCCCUAACGGUCGACGUAUUCCACCUCGUUCGGAUCGGUGUUUGUAGGACCGUAGUCAGACCUUCCUAGCCCCCUUCUCAUCUCUUUCUGUGGUUAGUGCUCUGAUGUCCCGAUAUAAAUAAUCUUUGAAGUAAUUCUUGAUUCUUAGAUCAAUUAGAGAACUCUCAGGAAACUUCCUCUCUUCCCACCAAAAAUAAUUAUAUAGUUAUCCUUGGGCGAUCUUGGAUCUUAAUUAGUACACUCACGUUCUCUGUGGAAAAUCGAUACUCUGAAAUACUCCCAGGUGAAAGCUACAUCGAUAUCCGUGCGCUUGUGGAUUUUUCUGUUUGCGUUUAAAAUACCCAACACAUGCCUCAAGGACGAGAUGGGCGAGCUUCUACAGGGUCGGAACUGUGGCCUCACCACUCAGCAGAGGAGAUCACCAGUCACAUAUGUAAAAACCUGUGCCCCCUUGAGACUAUAAAAGGGGAGCCAGGGCUCACAACCAUGACACGGCCAUCCACACAACACACAAUGACGGCAAAGCAACACCACACUCCAAGCGAGUUCUCACACAGAGUAGCUAGCAGCGCUCUAUCCACCACGCAAAGCCGAGACUUGGGACUUAGCCCUCUCUUGCAACCUGCUUGUACACCCCUAUUACAAGCACCUUUGGGUGCAAGGCAAUACAGACCCCCGAUCUCACUGGACGUAGGGCAUCCUUAGCCCGAACCAGUAUAAACUCUCUGUGUUCCACUUGCAUCACCAUCCAGGUUUCGGUGCUCACGCAUACUUAUACACGUUUGUGUCUAGACCACGAGUCUAGACGCCGACCACAGGAUUUUCCCAAAGUUUCAUUAUCUUUUUGUUUAAAAGAUAGGACUUCGAGUCUAAGGUCGCCGAUACGGUCGAGGGAAUAGAAAUCUAGACAAAAGUUGGAUCGUAAAACUCCCCGUUCACCUCGUUGUUGACUUACCUUCUCACUGUACCAUUGUCUAGCUUCUCCCCUUAAAGAAAAAGGAAAAAGCAUCCAACGUAAAGUUUUAUCAGAAAUGCCUUUAAUGCGAACACAAUCACAUGUUUGCUCAAAAUCUCUAAUGUGAAGGUAAGGGUUUUCGUCUUCCUUUCCCGAAAAAGAUAGGUUUUGAAUCAUGGCAAUCAACCUAGAACUUAACCUAUACUGGGAUGUUUGGAUAGGUAGUGAUGACUCCCAUGGUAAAAGGUCAGUUACUGAAGUAUUGCUAAUUCAUGGAUCGAUUUAGAAUUUUGGUUUUCCAUAAGAUAAGAGUAAUGAAAAUAAAUAAAGAAUAUAAAAGAUAAGAAAAGAUAAAAGUAUAGAUACAAGCUAGUAGUAAGACUCAAGGUUAUCUCAGCAAACCGUCUUUCUCCCCAGCAACGGUGCCAGAAAUGCUUGUUGAUAUUUGGGACCGCAAUAAGGAAUGGAUCCGCAAGCGCACGGAUACGGUGAGCACUUCACCUGGGAGGUUAUCUAGAGUAUCGUAUUUAUUUUUUUACCACUAGGAGAAAGAGUGUAUCUGACUAACCUGGUCUAUUACUACUAACCUUUAGGCUACAAAGAAUGUUUCUCGAUGUGAGUGAUAAAUAGAGAAGACUACAACCGUAAUCUCUUUCUAACCUUGGUAAGGAUGAUCUACUAUUCUAUUGGGGAAGCUUAUGGAAUCUAGACACCACAGAGGAUGUUCAACCCGCACCUAUAAACCCUAUCCUUCCUGCUAACGAGAUAUGGUUUGCAAAGGUAACUCGGAAAUAUCACGUUCCUCGCUACUACCGCAGUCCAGCUAGUCAGGGGAUAUCUAUGAGUAUCCUAGCCCAAACACAACGUCUACGCUAGAGAUGAUUACUCUAAACUCUACGCGAAGAGAUUAAAGUAAACUCAUAAACCAAAGAACAAUAAAACAAGAACUUACUAGAAUUUAGAAGUCGAAAUACUGAAGAAUCCUAGAAGCAAGCUUCGGGUAAGGAGAACUUGAUCCCGCAGGUACAACCUCGGAAUAGACACCGACAGGCCGGGCUUCCUCCGAUCUACACCUCCACUCUAUCUCUCUCAAUCUAGUAGAAACUAGAAGAUCUAAUUCUACUCACAUUGGAUGCUGAGCCUAAAAGAAAUUUUAUUUAGAGGAGAGGUAUUCCUUCGAGGGCUCCUCUCAACUCUAUGAUGAACUUGUCUCCUCUAGGGGCCAGGGGGUCUGGUUUUAUAGUCCCCUCAAGUGAACAUGAGCCAUUGGAUCAAACCGACAUUGAUUGGACGGUUAUCCUUGAUCCUUUAGGUCGGUGGAGCUUGGUCCACGAAAAGAGUCGCGAUUGGAGUCCAGGAGGGGGCGGGCGCCCUGGGCUAGGCCCCGUUCGGGCUCCGCUUUGUUCCCGUGGCUUCUGGAGUCUUCUAGAUGGUAGAAAAUUACGCGGUGCAUUGAUAUCUCUAUGUAAUCCCGACAUGUGGGCCUUUCUUCCUUAUUUCCCGAUAACCCCCUACAGGAACAGAUAAACAACAAAACUCGUCGAAUUCUGUCAGAUUAAACCCUAAUUCUAGGUGUUGUUUGCAUAUUGGUCCUUUCUCUUAUUUAUUUGAUAAUUAAAAUUGAUACUUAAGAAACAUAAACAGGCAUAUACCAUCACUGCCUUGGUAAGGAUCCAGAAAUACCACAAAAGAGAGAAUUAAGAGAGUCAUACAAGGAAUCUCUGAGUUUUAUUUUAAAAAUCUACAAAAACACUAGAGCUAUAGUUGAUCAAAGAACAAGAGACAUGGUGCUUGACUUGACCAUUCUAUCUUUUAACAACUCAAGACAUAAGUGACGGUUGCAAGCCCCAUGGUGAAAGGUAAAAUGAGUAAGUUUUAAGUCUCAACAGUUUAACCUAACCGAGAGAUGAUGUUGACGAUCCUUAAGUAUCAAAUUUAAUUAUCAAAUAAAUAAAGAAAAGGAUCCAAAUGAAAUAAAGAUCUAGACUUAGGGUUUUAUCUGACAGAAUUCCACGAGUUUUGGUGUUUGUCUAUUUCUGCAGGGGGUUAUCAGGAAAUAUGGAAGAAAGGCCCACAUGUCAGGAUUACGUAAAGAUAUUAACGUGCUGCGCAAUUAUCUUACAUCUAGAAGACUCCAGAAGCCACGAGACCGAAGCGGAGGCGAAUCGGGGCCAGAGACAGGGCGCCCGCCCUGUCCAACUAGGCGCCCGCCCUGCCCCCAAGUCCAAUCAGGACUCUGCUUUGCGGGAAGUCUACACAGACCUAAAGGAUGAAUCUAAACCAUACAAUCUAUGUCGGUUUGAUCCAAGGGCCCAUAUUCACUUGAAGGGACUAUAAAACCAGACCCCCUGGCCCCUGGAGGAGAGAGCCUCUCAACCCUAAUUCAUUGUUCCAUCAAGGGAGAAGAAGCCUCUGAUCAAGAUUAGAGCCACCACAUCAAUUAGACAUCUAGAUUAGCAUAGCUACAUAGGAUUAGAACUAGAAGGAGUCAAUCUUCGAUUGGUUUCCGGAUCUGUCAGGAGGAUUCUUGGUAAUUCUCUAAUUGUGCUUCUAAUUGCUUUCUAAUUAUCUUUGUUCUUCAAUAUUAUGAAUAUGACUUUGUUCUACUUCAAUAUAUUGCUUAUGACUUUGCUCUACUUGCUUAUAUUCAAGAUUAUAUUGUUCUUAGUUUAUCAUAGUUAUGUACUUGCCUUAGUUAGAUACGAUCUAUAUACAUGCUUAGGAUCGUAUAGCGUUUAUCCAUUGGAUCCAUGGGUAAAUGAUAGAUAUUGUGUAGGCGUGGUUCUUAUACCGUAUUUAUCUGCGAUUGUACCCAAUAUGCCAGAUCGUGGGGUAGUUCGUGAUAGUGACAGCUUCAUUGAUUCUUAUAUAGUCCCCCUCUCGUGUAUUGGGCUGGCAGAGCAACAUUAUUACAGGGGAGUGAUUGCUAUGUUUCUCAUAUUCCUUGCUAAUGUCACUAUGCAUGGGCGUAGUCUUGUCUCGCAAUGAUUGCUAAGUAUGCUUGCACUAACUAUGAUAUGCUAGACUAUAUAGUUGAGAAUAACUUAGGGAAUAUUCUUGUAGUUCGUUCUAAUACCAUGCUAAUGACUUUCUAGAGUAUCUAAUUGAGGUGCUUAUCAUAUUUAUUAUGUGGCUAGAUCAGAUUAGUUAUCCUUGUCACUAUUAUCAUUUCAUAUAUCUUUUAUGUGACACUUAUCCCUGUAUGAUGAGUUAGAUAUAAUGUUCCCAAUUAUACAUGCAAUGAUAGAUGCUCAAUCUCAUAUUCUAUUCUGUAAUCAAUAGUGAUGAUUGACUAAUCCCUUCCCAGUGGUAAAAAUAUAAAUAACGAUACCUGGAAUACUUCCCGGUCAAAAUGCUGCAUCGGUAUUAAUCUGUGCGCUUGCAGAUCCCAUUCAUUAUUUAUUUAGAAGAGCAAUUGCAUAUUUCAAUACCGCGUCUCUCAUGUCAUGCUGGGGAUGACAACUUGGCUUAAGUGUUGUGAGGGAUAGGUUUUGCAUUUUUGGCACCGUUGCUAGAUUUAGAACUUAGUCUACUUUUGGUAAUGAUGUUAAGAAUACCCAACAAGCAUAUUUUUGGCGCCAUUGCCGGGGAAGGUUGAUUACCAAUCAGGAAUGGAAUAAAAGAUUUUGAGUCAUCAUUCGCAUCACUAAUAUGAUUGAGCUUAUCUAUUCUCUCAUACAAUUUUACCCCGAUAUUUUUCUAUUUUAUCUUAUGCAGGGGAAUGUAUGAAUAGAAGACAUCUUCCAGGGAAUUUUGUUGACGAUCCUGAAGCAUUAUUCAAGAAGACGAGAGCCAAGCUAAAGAAAUCAUCAACACUUCACGAAGAAGCUUCAUCCAAUCAAGAAGAUCACCGGAACUUGUCUUCGGAGUUCGAAGCCAUGGCGAACAAAUCGAUCCGCGAGUUCUCAGCUCCCACUACGGACAACAUUCGCACUGGACCUGCUGCAGAGAUCGAUGGCAACUUUGAGCUCAAGCCUGGACUUAUCAACAUGGUGCAAUCCAACCAGUUCUGUGGGAAGGCACACGAAGAUGCUAGUGCUCAUUUACAACACUUCCUGGAGAUUUGCAACACAUUCACCAUAGCAGGAGUUUCCAAAGACGCUAUACUACUUCGCCUCUUCCCAUUCUCACUGUUAGGAAGAGCGAAGCAGUGGUUCUACGCUACAAAGGAGAAGAAUACUACGUGGGCACUCUGCUCAACAAACUUCCUGGCUAAGUUCUUUCCCAUGGGCAAGACCAAUGCUCUCCGUGGGAAGAUUACAAGUUUUCAGCAACAAAAUGAUGAAUCUGUUCCAGAAGCAUGGGAGCGCUUUCAAGACUACAUCCUAGAAUGUCCCCAUCAUGGAAUGGAGAGUUGGCUAUUGAUGCAGACAUUCUAUCAUGGGCUCAGCAACAGUGCCCGAGAGACUAUGGAUGCUGCUGCUGGAGGAGCAUUCUUAUCACUUACUAUACCACAAGCCACAGCUCUUGUGGAGAAGAUGGCGUCCAAUCAAAGCUGGAAUGAAGAGAGGACCCAGACACGCAAGAGAGGUGGAGGUAUGCAUCAGCUGAAGGAGGUAGACAUGCUGUCUGCAAAGCUAGACCUGCUCAUGAAGAAGCUCGAUGAUAGAGCUGGAGACAAGAAAGAAGUUAUGCACAUCUACGAUUCUCACAUGACUUGUGAGGAGUGUGGAGACACUGGACACUCAGGCAACCACUGCCCUGAGAUACUUGAGGAUGUGAACUACAUCAACAACAACAACAACUACUACAACCGUCCUCAACAAAAUCAAGGUUGGAAUCAACAGAGGCCUAACUACUCAGGUAAUUAUCAAGGUAACAAUUCUUACAACAACAAUAAUAAUUUUCCACCUUUGAGAGAGUUAGUGUCUAAUCAAGGAAAGCUAAUGGAUAAUCUAUCUAAGAAAUUGGCAUCUAAUGAUAAAAUGCUAGAAAAUAUAAAUAAUAGAAUGGAUAAUUUCUCUACUGCCAUCAAGAAUCAAAUUAGCUUUAAUAAAAUGAUUGAAUCUCAGUUAAAUCAAAUAGCUGCUGCUGUUCCUACUACUAACCCCGGUAUACCAUCACAACUGGAAGGAUUAGAAUCUGCAAAUCUUGUAGACGUGUUUGAUGCAGGUAAUUGGAGUAACCCCGUCAAUGAAUUUUCUACUGACCGUCUGCCGGUCAAGAGAGGCGAUCCAGGACGCCCCGUCAUCCCGAUCUCUAUCGGCAUGGUGGAUGUCCCAGAAGCACUCUGUGACUUUGGCUCCAGUGUCAACAUUAUACCCAGGGUACUCUAUGAAAAAUUCUUUACAUAUCCUUUAUUAGAGACAACCAUGUGUUUGCAGUUUGCAGAUCAGACGAUAACUUUUCCAAAAGGAAUAGUGAGGAACCUUUGUGUCCGAGUUGGUACCUUGUAUGCCCCAGCAGACUUCGUAGUGGUAGAGACCGGAAAUGAUGAGAGAGCACAUAUCAUCCUAGGGAGGCCAUUUCUGAACACCACGGGAGCUAUCAUCUACGCCAGUGCUGCCAAGAUCAGUUUCUACGUCAAAGGGAAGAAGGAGACAUUUUUCUUCAAGAACAAGACUACACAAAUUCCAAAUCAAUCCAGACGUGAAUCAAGGAAGAGGACCAACAGGAGGAACAGGAACAAGCAAGUGUGGACCGAGUCAGCUAAGAUGGUCACUGUAGUCCAUGGAGGCCAAAAUCACCAAUUGAAGUCACCGUUUUUUACCAAGAAGGACGACCCAGGAAUGCCAAGCAUUUACUGCUCCAUAAAUGGAUACAACUUCUACAAGACGAUUUGCGACACCGGAUCAGGCGUCAACAUAAUGGCCGCAGUCACCUAUCGGCUCUUGUUCGAGACCAUGCCACUAAGACCAAUAUACAUUCAGCUCCAGAUGGCAGAUCAGACAUUUCGAGAAGUUCAAGGAAUAGUAUCUGAUGUCCCAGUCAAAAUAGACGAUCACUUUGUCUACACAGACUUUCAAGUUGUUGACAUGGGAGAAGACGAGUAUGAUCCACCCAUCAUCCUUGGAAGACCAUUCCUCAGCACCGUUAAAGCCAAUAUCUACAUUGGAACCGGAGAAGUCCAUAUGCACUUCCCCUCAGAGAAGGUACGCCGUUAUUUUAGUGACCCUAACUAUAUCGUUGAAGAAUCUAAGCAGAUAAGAAAACGACGCAACCGCAACCAGAGGAGGCAGAUCAUCAGGGACGGAUGGGCAGACUAUGAAGGAGAAGUUGUAAGGUCAGAAGACGUAGAGUUUAAACAAAAUUAUCCAGAGGAGAUUGAAGCACCGAGUCAGGUAUGGAAAAUGAAGAUAACUAUACAAGAAGAGGAGGCGCUGCCGGAAGUACCGACUACGCCACCCAACGAACCUCAGGACGAUUAAGAAAUUGGAGAGUCCCGUUCGGAGGACUUAAAAACACCGAACGCCUUGCCAAGAGGUAAACUUGGUAGUUAUCCUUUCCCUUUCAAUUAUUUCAAAUAGUUUACUUAGUUAAUCAUGUUCAUACUAUCUUAAAAAAAGAAAAUAAAAAUGUGAAGAAACUUAAGCCCCAUGUGAGUAGACGAGUGGCAUAAAACCCAUAAGUAUAUUCACUGUGGUGGCAUAAAAAUAAAAUAAAUAUUUUUCUGCUUUAUAAAGACAAAAAUAUAAAAAUAGGGAGUAGCAAUUAUUAAGGAGUCUCAAGAUAAUGAAGGCUAUAUAUUUAUGCUAACACUUAAUCAGUUCCACAAGCUUUGUUGUCUAUUUGAGCUCCACAGAAUUUAAGAAUCAAGAAGACUAGCAGAAGGAGGACAUUCUAAUCGCUGUCAGAAGGCUGCUGACUUUCAAAUACACCUCUGCCACCUGCUAGCUACAUCAAGAGAAAUUACGUCAAAAUUCAGCUUGGGGGAGAGCACCCCCAUUUAUAUCGAUAAGUAUUUCUAUCUAUCUAUCUUUAUACUUAUAUUAUUUUAGAAUAUUAAUACACAUAAACUAUGGGAAAACCAAAUAAAUAUUUUAUGCUUAUAUAUAUAUAUUACUUAGUGUGUUUAAUAAAUAAAUAAAGUGGCUAUGCUAAUCUGUAUCUAAUAAAACUUAAGCAUGGAUAUGAUGAAUAGUUGCUCUGCCUAAUUUGCACAUUUUAAGUUCUCUCUCAAGUUUAGACAUAACUGUUAUAAUUUAAAGCUUGCUCUAGACCUAAACUUGUGGGAUGAAAACUUGAUCUGAAGUAUAAGUUGUUAACGGAUACGAUAUAGGAAGGUUGAGCUGCUGUUUAUCUGUUUCUAGAGAUGCUAGAAUUCUGGAGAAUUUUAUCUUUGAAAAUCUUUAAAAAGUUGCAUGAUGAGUUCCUGUAUGAUGAGAGCUUAAAAUUCCUACCACAGCCAUAUAUACAUGCUUGCUAGACUUUGAGCCACGCAUUUACUAUUUACUGCUUAUGAGCAUUGAGUAUGGUCAAGCUGUGUAGACCCUUAGGAGCUUGUCAUGUGGUUAAAUCAAGAUUUCACUUGCACGUUCACUCAUAUAUGCUACUUCUACUCCGGAAGUACCAUCCACAUACAUCCACUCAUUUCCAUCUCCAGAACCACCUAAAAAUAUUCUACUCCUAAUCCGGGAGAGAAUAACCAAAAAUAUUUCUGUUUUCCCCUUGUGAAAUAAAUGCUCAAGUUAUCUUGUUACUACCACUUGCUAUAUUAUCUCAAGCGAUGAAUGCUCUAAAAAAAAGAGAGAGAAGAAUAAUACGAGGAAAUAAAAAGGAGCAAGUGCUCGGAACCUCGAAAAAAAAAAUAAAAAGAGUGAGACGAGAGGUAAAAAUGGACAAGUGUCCGACAGUAGAAUUAGGGGUGCAAGAUACCCACCUGAGAGAAAAGAAAAAAAGAAGAGCAUCUCAUUCUCCUCAUAAAGUUUCAAAAGCAAGGAAGGUAUGUAUCCCCUUAAAGAGCAAAAGUAGAAUUAGACUUCCACCACCAUUGUUAUCACCAUCAUCACCAUAUACCAUUCAUUCGCCACACAUGCACAUCUUGAUUAAACUUAUUGACUUGUUACUUUGGAUCCAUGGUUUGACUAUGCAAUAAAUGUCUUGUAAGUAUUUAUACUUUAUCUCCCACCUAUGAGCUCCAGAUAUUAAAGCCUUAUUAGAGUAGGGUGAGAGAGAAGGCAUAUACCAUCAAUGCCUUGGUAAGAAUCCAAAAAUACCACAAAAGAGAGACCUGAGAGAAUCAUACAAGGAAUUCUGAGUUUUAUUUGAAAAUCUGCAAAAAUCCAAGAGCUAUAGCUGAUCAAGAAUAAGAGACAUGGCACUUGGCUAGACUGUUCUAUCUUUUAACCACUCAAGACAGAAGUGACAGUUACAAGUCCCAUGGUGAAGGUAAAGUAAGUAAGUUUUAAGUCUUGACAGUUUACUCUAACUCAAAGAUGAGAUCUUAUUUAAAAGCAUGUGUACCGUCAAAUUUUUAAAAGAUAUUGCAACAACUUAUGAUCCAUAGCUGAGUCUAUCCUUGCUCAGGGACGAGCAAGAGGUAAGCUUGGGGGAGUUUGUUGACGGUCCUUAAGUAUCAAAUUUAAUUAUCAAAUAAAUAAAGAAAAGGAUCCAAAUGAAAUAAAGAUCUAGAAUUAGGGUUUUAUCUGACAGAAUUCCACGAGUUUUGGUGUUUGUCUAUUUCUGCAGGG
rnacentral:lncRNA from 1 species